GUGCACAGACCUUGUUAAGGAAUGCUCUGGUGGGUGUUUUUCAAAAUGGAGUCUUUUCCCUUUCUUCUGCCAGAAGCACAAGGGGGGUCCAUGCUAAGCCUCCAGCAGUUCAUCAGCUACAGUUCCAAUUUCCCUGUCUGAUUCCUGCAGAGCUUCUGCUCCUGGGAAAUUCCCAGAAGAUCUCUGUGCUGUUCCCAUGGGGUGGCAGAGCCACCUGCAGGGCACAUGAUGUGCAAUGCCUGGAGUUUUGUAGAGCGCCAGCCAUUGAGUGCCUCCAGAACUGUGAGAAAUGAAGAAUUACCUAGGCCAUGGCUGCUGCUGCUGCUAAGUCGCUUCAGUCGUGUCCAACUCUGUGCGACCCCAUAGACGGCAGCCCACCAGGCUCCCCCGUCCCUGGGAUUCUCCGGGCAAGAAGACUGGAGUGGGUUGCCAUUUCCUUCUCCAAUGCAUGAAAGUGAAAAGUGAAAGUGAAGUCACUCAGCCGUGUCUGACUCUUAGUGGCCCCAUGGACUGUAGCCCACCAGGCUCCUCCAUCCAUGGGAUUUUCCAGGCAAGAGUACUGGAGUGGGGUGCCAUUGCCUUUUCCGUGGGCCAUGGCAGUUGUGUGUAUUACAGAAGCCUGAAUUAAGAUAGUAACCAAUUUAUAGUUCACAUAAUGCAAACAGAUAUUGCUGAUCAUCCCCCCAAAUCUGUCCCUUCUCUUUGGUAUGUGACUAUAUACUGCUGCUAAGUCGCUUCAGUAGUGUCCAACUCUGUGCGAUCCCAUAGACCGCAGCCCACCAGGCUCCCCCAUCCCUGGGAUUUCUCCAGGCAAGAACACUGGAGUGGGUUGCCAUUUCCUUCUCCAAUGCAUGAAAGUGAAAAGUGAAAGUGAAGUCGCUCAGUCAUGUCCAAUUCUUCGAGACCCCAUGGACUGCAGCCCACCAGGCCCCUCUGUCCAUGGGAUUUUCCAGGCAAGAGUACUGAAGUGGGGUGCCACUGCCUUCUCCGGACUAUAUACUAG
ensembl:lncRNA